GGAGGACAUUGUCAGGUGG
rnacentral:siRNA from 1 species